UGUGUGCAGGAGCAAACCGCCGGUCAGAACAUCUCUUUUUUACACUGAGAAGCGGGGAUGCUGAUCUUUGGGAUGAAACCCAAGGCGUGCUUUCUGGAAACAGAUGAUGACUUCCGAUCAUUUCAAAUCCUGUUUCUGCAGCUGGCACUUCUAGUCUGAGGGCUCACCCAUCUGUUCAGUUAAGAGGCCAGAGAUAAUACAGAAGGCAAAGGAGUAAUCUCAUUCAGACGUGCUUCACUGAAAACAGAGGGAACCAAGUGAGCCCAGCUUUCUCUUAACUCGGGAAACCCUCGCUAGCAUGGCUGAUAUCUGACAGAGGGAAGAAGACGAUUUAGGACAUGACAGUCCUCUCUUCCAUAACUAGGUGAAGUCCUCCAGGCUUGAACUAAAGCCUUGAGGCUCAAAUGACUUUUUUUUCCUGCUAAAUCUCUGUUGAAAUAAUUGCUGUAUCUAAGGUAAUUCUGAAGACUUGGAUAUAAAUGCCUCACAAUUGCCAAAAAUAGGAAUGCACGCCCAUGAGAUGGGAAGACUGAAGUAGGACUCGAGACUGAUAGUCCUGAGGCUUUUGGGGAUGUCUGGUUUCAUGGGAUAAAGAUCACUCCUCCAUUGCCAAACCAAGAAAGCCAACCUAUGCAGUUAUGAGAAGGAGCUGAGGAGAGGAUCUGAGCUUCAAAUCUUAAGAUUUGAAUAAAUCUCAGAGAUGAAGGUGCAGUGUGCACAGUCAAGUCAACAAAAAAGUUAAUUAAGCUGACUGAAGAGUUAUAAACCAAGCGAGCAGCUAAAUGGAAUAAAGGUGAGGGAGGGAGUCUUCCCCCUUGGGGAGGUCAUCUCCCACUGACUAAGCAUGCAGUCUGAAGAAACAUACAGCACCCUUCAGCUGUGACAACUGAUGACGAAGAAACCUCUGUCCAUGGGUUCCAGAAGAAUAACUAUGUCCAACUUCUGACUCUCCUCAAUCCAGUCCACCACAGGACAGGACGAUCGUACCAUGAACAAGGUCGUGAUCUGGAAGGAAGAAUGGAGGAUAAUUAAGACAUUUCAAAAGAAAUCUGAGACAUUUGUAUAUUGCCAAGGCAAAGAUUUUGCUUAUGAAACUUGCUAGCAAGAUCAGUGCAAAAAAUUCUGGGAAAUAGAAAAGGACCUCAAACAUCAGAAGAUGAACAGAGGCCACAGUGGUGUAUUUCUACACAUUGACCUUUUCCAGCUACAAUUUCAUUUCUGUUGAUGUUAAUACCUGAAGUUGAAAGUGGACUAAGAAGAAAGUUUUAAACCUACUAACCAGUGUGAAAUAUUACAAUUGCAUCUCUGACACUGAUGUCAUUAAAACAGGACAACUGAUACAAUGUGGCAAACAUAUUAAAGCUUUCUAAAUUACUUUUAACAGGUGAUUUUUUCAGAACAAGUUUGUGCACAGGAUGGUUUUAUGUAAGAGUUCUGAAGGAAUGAAGUACAUAGUAAGAAAAGACUGCUUUGACUAUACACUACGUAUAAAAAGGGCUAUUUUUAGCUGUAAAUUCUAGCAAAUGUCUUGACUAUCUAGCUAACAUUUAAGCGUUUCAAAAGUUUGUAACUUAUGUAAGUCUGAGCAAAUUUCACAGAAACAAGGGGAAAAGAGGACUUUUCUGAC